AGAGUUUGAUUAUGGCUCAGAACGAACGCUGGCGGCAUGCCUCAUACAUGCAAGUCGAACGAGAAGAUACCUUCGGGUAUUGGACAGUGGCGAACGGGUGCGUAACGCGUGGGAACUUACCGUAUAGUGGGGGACAACAGUUGGAAACGACUGCUAAUACCGCAUACGCCCUUCGGGGGAAAGCUUUAGUGCUAUACGAUAGGCCCGCGUUAGAUUAGCUAGUUGGUAAGGUAAAGGCUUACCAAGGCGACGAUCUAUAGCUGGUUUGAGAGGAUGAUCAGCCACACUGGGACUGAGACACGGCCCAGACUCCUGCGGGAGGCAGCAGUAGGGAAUAUUGGACAAUGGGGGCAACCCUGAUCCAGCAAUGCCGCGUGUGUGAAGAAGGCCUUAGGGUUGUAAAACACUUUCAACUGUGAAGAUGAUGACAGUAGCAGUAGAAGAAGCUCCGGCUAACUCCGUGCCAGCAGCCGCGGUAAU
rnacentral:rRNA from 1 species